CACACAGCAGACCAAAAGACAAAAGUGUCUGGUCGCGUGAUCACGCACAUCUCAUCAGAGAUUGAUAAGUGCCACGUUUUGAUAAUUUUGAGAAAUAAGCUACAGAUUCAGCUUAGGGGAUAAAUAAUUUUUCCAUUGUAAGUUAAAAAUUUGAGGCCUGACCGCCUGAGCCAUCAUUGAGAACAUCUACCAAGUUUAGCCAUUGUUCAUCCAGCCUGGCAUCGUUAGCAGUAGUUUUUCAGCUUCCUCUAUUUGGUGAAUAGUUCACUCUUUAAUGGGAUUAAUGAGACCCAUUGAUGUUGGUCGAAUUCUUUCAUCUCCCCCUCCUUGAAUCCCCAGAUGAAGCCUAAGGAGAAUUGGAGAUGCCUGGCGAUAUUCCCCAGGCUUCAAGAUUUGAAUCCUGAGCCAGCCAUCAUCAACAAGAACAACAAAUGCAAGUUUCUCUUUGUGCUGGUAUCAACUUGUCAUUAGCAACAGUCCCAUCUUCAAAGAUACCAGAUAA